GAGGGUAUAGCUCAAGUGGUAGAGCGCAUGCUCAGCAUGCACAAGGUCCUGGGUUCAAUCCCCAGCACCUCUU
rnacentral:tRNA from 1 species